rnacentral:rRNA from 1 species
UACAGAGGUCUCAAGCGUUUGUUCGGAUUCAUUGGGCGUAAAGGGUGCGUAGGCGGCGCGGUAAGUCGGGUGUGAAAUCUCGGAGCUUAACUCCGAAACUGCAUUCGAUACUGCCGUGCUUGAGGACUGGAGAGGAGACUGGAAUUUACGGUGUAGCGGUGAAAUGCGUAGAUAUCGUAAGGAAGACCAGUGGCGAAGGCGGGUCUCUGGACAGUUCCUGACGCUGAUGCACGAAGGCCAGGGGAGCAAACGGG